rnacentral:lncRNA from 1 species
AGCAUGCCACAAUGGAGCCCAAAAGUUGAGCAAUCCAGUAAAAGAGGCCAGUAAGUAGCGUAAUUUGGCCGCCAACAGCCAAACCAAAGGUGACUGCAGGGUUUACAUGGCCACCGGAGAUGUUGGCUCCGAUCGAGACGGCUACAAACAGAGCGAAACCAUGGCAGAUGGCCACAGCCACCAGCCCCGCCGGAUCAAGAGCUGCGUCCGCCGUCAACUUGUCUGUCAAAGAUCAAAAUGUUACCAAGUGCUUGUUAACUUAAAAAAAAUAAGAAAACGGUUUUAGAACUAACUGUAGGCAAUGGCGGAGCCGACUCCGGCGAAAACAAAGAGCAAGGUGGAGAUGAAUUCAGCUACAUAGGCCUUCAACGAACCAAUGCUAAAUGAAUCAUCUAAUCUUCCGACAGCAAUUGCAGGCAUUUUGAUGAUUAGAAAGAAGUCUCAAGAAAAUUUUCUUGACGACAAGAAGACUAUGUUUUUCUGAUGCACACACAAACUUCCUUCACCACACAUAUAUAAAGAGAGGGAAUACACAAGAUAUAAUAAUAUUGGACUUUAUUUAAAUCCAUUCAUGGGUUUCUUUCCAUGGCAUAUGCUUUUUUGCCUUGUUACAAGACAAAAAGGAAUAAUGGCCCGUUUGGCAUGCUUUUAAAAGUUAUGAAAAUAAUUUUAAGAUUGUAUUUGAACAUGUUCAAUAAUUUUUUGGAAAUAUUUUGUCUGACUAAUUAAUUUUUUUUUUAAAAGAAAGUUAAUCUAAAGUAAUUUCACCGUAAAAUUCUUUUAUAGAAAGAAAAAGUAAAAGUAAACCCUAAUUAAAACUCUAUCCUAUGUGGAAAUUCUAUCCCAAAUUAUGAUCCGAAAUUCCUUUUGUAUAUUGUUGCAAUAUAUAAUUAUUUUAUUUCACUUUGCAAUACCAAUAUUAAUCAAUGUUAUUAUGCCCGUUUGGUAUAUACUAUUAUUAUUAUUAUUAUUAUUAUUAUUAUUAUUAUUAUUAUUAUUUUCAAACUAAUUUUUAACUAUAUAUUUUAUGAUCUCUACAUUUUUUUUAAUCAUACAUUUAAUUAACUUUUAUCAAAAUUUAGCAAAUUUUUAGCUAAACCAAAUAGAGUUUAUAAUUGGAGUGGACGAAUCGAUUUGACCAAAAAUAAAAGAAAAAAAAAAUGGUACUAAUCCAACUUGAGUAUAAUUGAAAGUUGGAACGUAAAACCAUUAAAACGACUUUAAAAUUGACUGAUUCACCCAUAAAUUGGGUGAAUCAGACUAGUUUUAUCGAUUUAUUAUUAAAAUAGAUUGUAUUUUUAUUUAUCUUUUUCUUCAAUUCCAAAUAAAUUCAACUUAGCAAACAUAAAAUUAUGGUUAGGGCUGGCAUGGGAUGAAUUGAGUGAUAUUCCAAUCCAAAAAUGAAUCAACAAGAUGAAUAAUCUGACCCGAAUCGAUUUGGUUUGUCAAAUUCAAAAUUUUUUUACCUUAAAAUCAUUUUUUUGAAAAACCAAAUCCCUUAAAACCGAGGUUUUCCUCCCGAUCAAUCCAAGCUAAACCAACUCGAUUUUCGACGAUUAGAUGAAUAAUUUGCUCACUCUUAAUUAUUGUGGAGCGCUUUAAUCAACAUUAUUAAAUAAAAGGAAUAUUACAAACAUCAUAAUAAAUCCAUUCACAUCCAAUCAAUUUUGAGUUGCAAUCCUAGCUGUCAGUAACAUGGUUUCAUAGAAAUGUCUAGAGAGUGGACAUAGUAUUCCAUGUGAAGUGGGGUGCUCUGACCCCCUCGUGAGUGAUGUAAAUGAUUAAAAACAACGGUGAUGGAGGCAUGACCAACCGUGGUCCAGAUACUCCGCCGACCAGAUAAUGAAAUAGGGGAUUAUUUGUUAAUUUAUUUAUUAAUUUAUUCAAAGUUUGUGGAUCGGAAUGGAAAGAGAAUUAUAUUAAGAUUUGAUUUGUAUUUAAUUGGAUUAAUUAGGGUUUACUACUGGAAAUUAGCCGGCUGGAUAAGGAUUGUAGAGCCUUGAGGGAAUCUUUUGCGUAACUUUCUGGUAUGACAUCGAUUAUGAAACGUUGAACAGUCAUAUCCACAUCACAAUUUUUUUUUUUUUUUUUUUUUUUUAAAUAAAUUACNNNNNNCAUCACAAUUUUUUUUUUUUUUUUUUUUUGUAUAAAUACAUUACGACGGUGUUUCGUAGGAAUUAAAAUUAGAUUUUUUUAGAAAGAGGUUUUUGAAAUGUGUGGUUGAAAAGUUGUGAGAUCGAUGAAAAAAGUGAUUAAUAUUGAUUAUUUGACUUUGAUUUAAAUUAAAAUCUGAACCAAACAAGUUGUAUAUUUUAAUAUCGUACUUAUAUUUUUGUCUUUUUUCUUCGUAACAUUCUUAUUUUUAACAUUUUAUUGACCAAAAAAUCUUGUCAUUAAUCAUGAUUUUCGUCCAAAAAUAAUAUUAAUAUAUUUUAAAAUGAGGAUCAAAUAUUUAAUCGUGUUUUUGCAUCAUUAAUUUUUUUUAAUUUAAAAAUACAAUAGACAAAUAAGAUCCUUUACUCUAUCUUAAACAAAAAAAUUGUAAAUAAACUAUAAUGAAGAACAAUUUAUGUUAAUUUGAGAAUAAGAAUGAAAUAAAAAAAAAUGGGACGUAAAUGUAAUAAUAUAUAAAGAUUUGAAUCUUUUAUGCAAUUAAAAUAUAGUGUAGUUAUUAAGAAAUGCAAUGUUAAUAUAUUUAGUCUAUAAUGUUUGUUGUAAAUUAAUUAUUAGUUGAAAAUGACAAUUAGACCCCUGUAAUUUAUUAACGUUUACAAUUAAAUACAAACAAGCGAUAAGUGUUUUUAAUCUUUUUAUCCUCUUAUAUUAUUCUUGUAUUCUCUUAAUUUCAAAUCACGAUAUUCUAGUCAAUUAAAUAAAGUAAAAAUGGGUGAAAAUUUUUAAAAAGAAAAGCAUAAAUUCCAGCUAAUUGAAUUUCAAAGUGAUCUUUUAUUUCAGUCACAAAAUAAAGGCAAACCGAGUAUGCAUAUUUGAUUUUAUUUUAUUAUGUAUAUUAAGCAAUAUUGUAUUGACAAUAAGAAAUUACGAUUUUAUACAUUUCCAUGUGAACGUUGUAUUGACCAUAAGAAAUUACAAUUUUAAUCAAUACCGUUCUUAAAGAAGCGAAAGUUUAUUAAUAUCAAUAUAUCAAAAAAUUAUUAUUUAAUUUAUAACUCGAGAAAAAACAUUACUUAUAAAUCAAUACUCUUGAAGAAUAUUGCGUUUGUUCCGAAACUAACUUUAUAUGAAUAAAUAUAUUAAUGCUCUAGAAGAAACAUAACUUGAUAUCAGUAUUCAUCUUGUGUUCGACACACCAAAGAUAAACGUAUGGUGGACCCCAAUGAAUUAUAUGACAUGUCAUCGAUAUUUAACAUAAAUGAGCGCGCGCAUGCGCACACACAUAUAUUACAUCUAUACAACUUAUUCGGCCUUUCGUACAUUGUGAAAUGUCACAUUAUGAUUUUGAAUAUUUUGCAUAUUUACAUUUUAUGGCUCUAAACAUGUGAGAGGUCACAAAUUCUUUUUUCUGUAACACAAAUAUCCAUUCUCAUACUUACUACGGGUACCUACCUAUAGUACGUCCAAAUAUCAAUUUGAACUUAUCAUGACCCUCCGAAGGAGAAAUGAAAGUGAAGGAAAUUAACACAAUAGUACAUUCUACGAAUUUUAUGGAAGACUUCGGAAGAAACAAUAUUGUUCACGUGGGAAUGAAACUUAUUAUUGAAAUAUUUUGUUCUCUUAUAUUCUUUGGUACAGAAGUACGUAAAAUGUUAUGUUGAAUUAUCACGACUCUUUGAAGGAUCGAACAGGUGGCCACCUACCCUUCUACUUUUAUCUCGUUACAAGUAAUACGUGCUCACUCAGAUUGACUGAUUUAUACUAAAAAUGAGAGAGAUUUUUUUUUCAAAAACACAAUAAUUUCGGAAAAGAUGGCAGUACAUGGUGAACAAGCACAUGACAAUUACAUAGGACGGAUUAGUGGUUAUGGAAAAGGCAGUCUACUUUAAGCAGCCAAAUAACAACAAUUCUGGUCGUAUAGAAGGGUAUUUACACCCUUCUUGAUAGAUCAGGCACAUGAAGAGGUGGGGGUCACGACUUUUUGCAUUUUUUAUUCAUGUGGGGUCGGCUCAGAACCCACACACAUGUAAGUAUCUAUCAUAUCGGGUGUAAACCGUUUUCUGGCAGAGGAACUUUAUUCACCAAAUAAUAUGGCCCUAACUACAAAUACUCAAUUUCAUUUCAUACAAAGAAAGGAAGUGUGUGCGCAGAAGUGUACAGGCGAUGGGGGGAACCUGUGAUCCAGUUGAAGCAUAACCCGCGAUUUAUCCCUCCAAGGUUCUAGAGGCAAGGGUCUGAGGGUCCAGAAUUUAGUUUAGUGUAAAUUGGGAUAACUGGAUAUCAAAAAAAAAAAAAAAAAGAAAGGAAGUGUGUGCUACCUACUAUGCGCUGUCAUGUGUUAACCAAGCAAAGGCACAUUAACUUGAUGGGUGAACGAUCAGAGAAUCCUUCACCAUAACACCGUGAAUGCAAUUUAUAUGAGAGAGAUCUCUAAAACGUUUUCCUUGCUUCUCGUUUAGGAGCAGCCAAAAAGUAAGCUGUCAUACUUAGCCUUGUUUGGUAUUAGAUUUUAAUCUAAAAUAACAAAAAGCAACAAUUACUUUUAACCACACAUUUUAUGGAACUCACAACUUUUCUAUCAUAUAUUUCAUCAGCUUUUAUCAAAAUCUACUAAAAUCUAAUUUUGAUCCCCCUCAAACAAGGGCUUAGUGUUUGUUUGACAUAGCUUAUAUAAAAUUAAGAGGCAUUUUCAAGAAUGUCCAAUUUUAAGGGUUUGAGUUGAAAAGUGUCCACCCAUCUGAAUUUAGUACCAACUUGUCUAUCAUGCCCUUAAUGAAAAAAUGGAGCAAUUGAAUGUCGUUCUCGACAUUUGAUUUUUUUUCAAUUUGUCAUGAAUUUCGAGAAGUAUCUUUCAUGAGACACUACAUUAAAAUAAUGUUUCUCGACAUUUCAUAUGUAAUGCUCAACAUUUGAACACCGUUUCAUUUGUCUAGAAUGCUAUUUCAUUUGAAUAUGACAUUUCUCUACAUUUGAAAUGUAGUUCUCGACAUUUCUGAGUCAAUGAAAAGCAUAGUAUUUAUUGUAAUUUGACAUGUAUGCUUUUGAAAUAAAUAUAACAGAUUAUGUGUCAAUUUUAUUGGCCAAUAAUAAUUUUGCAAAAAUGUCUAUUUUUUUGUCUUAGUGUGGAAUUAUAAAUUGUUAAUAAGGGUAUUUUCGUCUAAAUUUUUCCAAAUUAGACAUUUUUGCAAUGGUGGACAUUUUUACAAAUGACUAAGUAAAAAUGGACAUUUUGUGAAAUUUCCUCUUAAUUUGUUUACAUCAUUAGACAGUCUAUUUAAUCAUUAUCAGAGUCAGAAAGAAUUAUAGGUAUCAGCACAAGUUUUCUUAUUUAAAUCAUGUCAACCUAGAAAUGUUUACAUAAUGAUAUAUCAAACCUUCAACGUCAACAUUCAGGCAUGAUGAGUUGUUAAGUCUUACAAUUUGUCAUGAUCAAUUAAAAAUUAAAUUGACCUACAGACUGAUCAUCUGAGGCACCAAACCAUUCAUCGGCUCCAGCAGCUCCUGACCACCCGUCAAGCUGCACGGUGUUUCCUGGCCAUCAUGGAGUACUUCCACCGCCUCUGUGCCCUCAGCUUUCUUGUGUUGGACCGCCCCAGGCAAGAAUGAGAAAAUCCCUUGCCAUCUGCACCUUUAUUAUAUAGACCUUUUUACUGUUUUAUAGAUGUAUAUAUAGAGAUUAUAGAACAACUAAAUUAAGACUUUUAUAAAAGUAGAAGUAAUUAAACUUCAUUUCCUUUGUUUUUCCUUAUUAUCAACGAUGGAUUAUUGAUAAUGAUUAAUAGGAUAAUGAGUUAACAAAUAACUUUUGACUGAUAAAUGGAAGAUGAAGAUGUUUAAGGCUUUGUUAUAUGGUCGAGUUACAAAAAAUAAUUUGUUUUCUGAUAAGUAAAUCCAAGAUGUCAAAAUAUAUGUGUUUAAAUUAUCGAGUAAUGACAGGGACAAAAAAAAAAAAAAAAGUCAUGCAGCCAUGUUAGCAGCAAUCAAGAGAUACGUGCCAUCUUUGGUAAGUCUCAUCCAUUCAUAAUUUUGCUCUUGCGAUAUUUCUUUAAUCUUCACCAAGUUCUUACAUAGUCAUCUUGUCGACUAGAUUCCUUCACCCUACUCUUCUGAACGGCUCGCAUUAAUGAAGCAAUUAAAGAGAACGAAGAAGAUGGCAAUUCAACAGAGCAAGAGCAUAGGCUAAAUUCCCUUGAAAGUUAACUAAUCCAGUAGUGAAGAUAUUAUCUACUUAACACUGUUUUGAAACAGAUGUAUUGUCCAUUAGAACAUUGUAUAGUAUUAAGAAAUAAAAUAAGUUAAAAUCGUGUCGACUGUAUUGUCAUGUCGUAUUCAUGCAAAUAUUGUGGAUUACUUAUGCAGAAUCUGUACUGUAAAUUUCACGAGUUUAAUCCUGUAUAUGAACUUGGGCAUCUUGGUCCUUUUUUCUUUUUUAAAUAAACUAUUCUCAAGGCCUCAAUUAGUCAAUAUAUGUUGUACAGUUUACUCAGAUAAACAUAUCCUUAGAACAUUUAUAUUUUUAAUUUGGAAAGUGUAAUUAUGUCUGCAUGACUAAAUUAAAAGGAUUAAUUCAUCAUCCCUUUCCCUGUAUAGUUAACAAAUCGAACUGUCAUGUGUUGAAUGGAAAAGAUACAUGUUGAAUUCCUAGUAAAGCCAUGAAGGCCCAGCCCGGCCUGUUCAUUAUUUCAAACUUUCACACGUUUACUCGGGCCGAGGACACUUAUUGUCAGGACCAGGAAGUAUUAAAACUAGCCUGGUCCGAGUCAUCAUGCACACUUUGGAUCCGAUUAUCGGGCCCUGCCCGGCCCUAGAGGUCGAAAACUCUGCCAAGAAGCUCGGCCCAUAACUUUUUACACUUACGGGAUGUCCACAGACCACAGUUAAUGUCAAGAAUGCUGUUUACUAUUUUCAGGUGUCAUCAGAUAAAACCAUCACACCUAUCAGCCAUCAGAUAAGAUGAACAAGAACCACAAAUUCAAUUCAUCAAAUUACAAUGCAAAAUCCAAUAUAUACAGAUUCAAACUAUCUUAAAAGUGCACUAUUCUCAUCCAAAUAUCCCUAAAAAUGGGAAUACUUCAACUCAACUCACAUAAUUUAGCUUCUUUCUCAGUAUCCCAUAAUUUCAGCAACACCCCUCACAGAACUUUAAAGGGUUUUAAUAUUCUCAGUCUUCCCCGAGGGAGAAUUCCGGCCAUCGGAACUACCCGCCAGAGUGAACCGGAGACUGCAGUAUCGGAAGAAGAAACAACUGAGGCUGCAGUGAAUUUUGCAUUUGUUAGUGUGAGUUCAGUUUACUAUUAACCAUCAAGUUUGAUAUGCUGAAUUGGACAGAAUAGUAAAUCCAAUAAAUCAAACAUCCAUUUAAUGUUUGACAAGCUGGACAGAAGAGUCGAGAAACAUUUAGCAUAUUUCUCUCAUUUAAUCAUGUCUAGUUCAAUUCAAUGUCUCAAACAUCAUAUUAAUAUACACAAAAAUUGUAAUUGUAGUGUGACCUUGUCAAGUUUGUGUGUAUUUUCCUAGUCUGUUUUGCUUCCUGAUGGAACACCGGAUGUGCAUUAUCGAACAGCCUGUGGUGGACAGAAACUUAGGGACAUAAUGUUGGACAACAACGUCGAAUUGUAUGGACCAUACGUAAGCUCCUGUUCUAUUUCAGUGCAUCUAGCAAGGACUGGCGAAGACAAUUUUUGUAGCCGAUCCAACAUCCAAAUUUAUUGAGUUCUAUUUUAACGUUUCAGGCUAGACCUCUGCUAAAUUGUGGGGGAGGAGGAACCUGUGGAACGUGCCUUGUUGAGGUUGUCGAAGGAAGGGAACUAUUGACUCCUCGUACAGACAAAGAGAAGGAAAAAUUAAAACGGGUAUGGAGUUUUCUUUUUUAAUACUGUCCAAUCCUAUACGGCAUACUGCUAAAUGGCUAAUGAGUUAGUUUCAUUUUGCAAUUUCAGAAUCCGAAGAAUUGGAGACUGGCUUGUCAAACCACUGUUGGCAAUGCAGAUUCCAGAGGCCUGGUUUGUAUUCCUUUUUUCACUGUCCUUUUCUAUAAUUUUUCCAUAUUUUUCAUUCUUUACAUUUUAAAAGUAGACCGAAAAAUAAAUAAAUAAAUAAAUAAAAUAAAAUGAGGAAGAGUAGGCCGGGGCAACCCGACCUGCCCCGUUGUAAAACAGGUGUGGUCUGUCUGUGACCCGGGCUGCUUCAGACGUAAAGUCGAAAGAUGUAUAGACCUCUAUGAUAGUACCUGCAAGACUUGAUUUACACCACUACUUUUAGUGACAUUCUUUAGGAUUGAACAAUCAACCACAACUCUUUUGGUACAAUUUUCUCAUCUAGUUUAGGGUCAUAUGAAUUUUUCCUCGAUGAAUUUUCAUUCAAAUAAUUCGUUAAUUUCAAUUGGAAACUUUAGGUGCAUAUUUGGUGCACAGGACUAAGAUGACUGAAAAAUACCUUCCUUUGUAAUAAUACUUCAGGCCAACAUAUAUAGCAUGACAUAAAUGCUUUAACCGACAUUUGUCCUCAUCCAUCUAAAGUUCAGAAUGUUUUAUCUUUUCCCUCUUAAUGAUGCAGGUUGUAAUCCAACAACUUCCUGAAUGGAAAGGGCAUGAUUGGGUUUAUGGAAAAGAACCACCACCAGAAGAUGAAACUGCCACUAUUUGACAUUUUAAAUUACACAAUCAAAAAUUCUGCUUUGGAUCCUGAUGAGUUAUUCAAAUUAAAUCAGAUACUGCUGGUCCCCUCUUCUUGUAGAGAAUACAGCAAAAUCAAGAUUGCAAUAGAUUGAUCAUGUUACUUCUUUCGUUGACAAAAUUUGAUGUAAUAAUUUAACUGCUUGUUUUGUAUGAAGAAUUAGAGGAGACUCGAGAGUAUAAUGAAUAGGAUUUUAAUAUAUUUUUCUAAUAUUGUUUAGUGUUAUCUAAUUUUGACAAAAGUCAAAAGAUAUCAAAAAGGUGCCAGGAGCAUCUAUAGAGAAUUGGGACCAAACCUUCGAUUAAAUGAUCUUUAAGAAAGCAACAUUACACCAGAAAAUGGAUUUACAGCAAAGAAACCAUGAUGAAAUAAAGGAAGAAAAGCAAAAAUUUCCUCUUCUUCCUUUCAUUACCAAAAGAAAAGGUGAAAAAGUUUCAAUUUGAACACGUUGAAAUUACAAACGAAAUAGUUUAAAAGUCGGUAGGUAGGGGAGCAUGCUCGUGGGACAUGAACACAUAGGCGUAGACGAGACCGGCGAGGCCACCACCAAUGAGGGGUCCAACCCAGUAAAUCCAGAUGCCGGAGAAGUUGCCGCUGGCCACAGCCGGUCCGAAGGAGCGGGCAGGGUUCAUCGACCCACCUGAAAAUGGACCGGCAGCCAAAAUAUUGGCACCAACAAUGAAACCAAUGGCUAUGGGUGCAAUUGUGCCCAAUGAGCCCUUCUUUGGAUCAGCUGCUGUCGCAUACACAGUAUAGACUAAAGCAAAUGUGAUAACAAUUUCCAUAACAACUCCUUCAAAGGCUCCAACACCAGCACCAACUCCAUGAAUUGGAAUAGCCUGCAUGAAAUUAUAUAUUUUGUUAGGAAUCGAACUAAUCGGGGUAGUUUAGCCAGAGAAAUCAAGAAUCGGACUAUAAAAACUCUGUAAAUAAAAACCGACUCGAAUUUUAAAAUAUUAUUUUGGGUGGACAUACCAAUCCUCCGGUUACGAAUACGAGUAAAUAGCAUGCCACAAUGGAGCCCAAAAGUUGAGCAAUCCAGUAAAAGAGGCCAGUAAGUAGCGUAAUUUGGCCGCCAACAGCCAAACCAAAGGUGACUGCAGGGUUUACAUGGCCACCGGAGAUGUUGGCUCCGAUCGAGACGGCUACAAACAGAGCGAAACCAUGGCAGAUGGCCACAGCCACCAGCCCCGCCGGAUCAAGAGCUGCGUCCGCCGUCAACUUGUCUGUCAAAGAUCAAAAUGUUACCAAGUGCUUGUUAACUUAAAAAAAAUAAGAAAAC